UACGAAGGGGGCUAGCGUUGCUCGGAAUUACUGGGCGUAAAGCGCACGUAGGCGGCUUUCUAAGUCGGGGGUGAAAUCCUGGAGCUCAACUCCAGAACUGCCUUUGAUACUGAGGAUCUUGAGUUCGGGAGAGGUGAGUGGAACUGCGAGUGUAGAGGUGAAAUUCGUAGAUAUUCGCAAGAACACCAGUGGCGAAGGCGGCUCACUGGCCCGAUACUGACGCUGAGGCACGAAAGCCAGGGGAGCAAACGGG
rnacentral:rRNA from 1 species